GCUAAUUAGUAAAAAAAAUAAUCUGUGUUGCUUAGUGGAUCUUCCUAAAAGGAUUUGCAAAGGGUUUAAUGUAAAUAAUAAGUUCUUCUCUUCUAAAAGAAUGCCAAAGGAAGCAGUGUGGUAAGGCUACUAAAGUUUUUUGCAUUCCUGGGUGAGCUUGUGUCCUCCCACCCCCAGGUCUGCAAGAGGUUUUCUGAUCUUAACAAAAGCAAAAACAAACUCUUGCAUAUUGUUUUCCAGAGAGCAUAAAAUCAAAUUUUCCACCCCAAUUAACACUGUCUUUAUAAACCCAGUAGCAUCUCUGAUAAUUCAAGUAAACGGCAGGGUUGAGCUUUUUUUCCCCUUUAUUUGUUUAGAAAUGAAAUAUUGGGUUUUGGAAAUGUACACGAUGUGAUUAGAUUCUGCCAUGCUUAACACUGCUUAACAUUAUCACUGCUUAAGAAUGUAUUAAGAGUUCUUGAUCAUGCAGUCCAUGGCUCUAUAAGUCCAUCCAUAAUAUCAUUUUUUAAGCUCAGACAUUUAGAUCUGGAAGGAACAAUGAAGGUAAUGUAGUUCCUCAUUUUACAGAUGAGAAGCCUGGGUCCUUAAAGAAAUGAAGUAUCCCAUCCAAGAUUAUCAAGCUCUUAGUUUGUCACUGUUCCCCUCUGAGGUUCCUCCAUGGGCUCUGAGGGCUCAUGAUGGGAUUAUGUUCAGCUGGUUUGGGCCAAAUGAGCCCUGAAGCAAAAAAACUCCUCCUCCACAAUCUGUGUUGAAUACCCAGAGACUGACCAGGUUGCUUUCAAGGUAAGCCCUUCUAAGUAACCCCUUUGCCAGUCAUGAGGUUUCUGUCUUUUCAGAAGUUCUGAGGGCUCAUGAUAGGAUUGGGUUCAGCUAGUUCCCUAAAGCUGGAAACUCCCUUGAGACUCAGAUGGAAGGACCCAGCCAAGGGGCUACAGGCUUCCCCCUUCUCUCUAUGUUUCCCUGCCAUCUGUGUUGGGAGCCCCAGAAACUGGCUCAGGUUGCUUUCAAGAUCACCUAUGAGGAGGAACACAAAUGAGAGACAUCAGGGACCUGCUUCUGGGAGAAGAUAUUCUACACUCUCAGACCUAGUGGAUGGGACCAGCCUCUUUCCACUGACUGUGUAACCAGAACCAGAUGCAUCUUUAAAAGUAUCACACUGGGAAAGUCUUGUUCUCUCCUUCUGGCACCAUCUUGAUCUGGUAAAUGUCUUGUUCAUAUGCAGCAUGGACACCAUGCACUAAAUUUAUUGGGGGGAAAGCUACCCUCCACCUCUCCCUUUAAGCUUGCUGAUGACCCCAAGAAAUGAGCUUGGAAUUGUAAUCUUUCUGAUUUAUACUUUUUUUCAGCUCCAGGUGCAGAUAGUGGGCCUAAGACCUGGAAGCUCAAGCCAUGAAGACCAUUUCUUUAAGGAGCACUUUGUAAUUUAAUCCAUAUAAUAUUUUGUGUAUUUUUGUAGGUUGGUUGUCAAAUACUUCAUGCAUUUUGGAGUUAUUUUAGAAUGGAAUUUCCCUGUCUAUUAUUGCCUCUUGGAUUUUAUUACAAAGAAAUUCUAUUGAUAUUUGAGGGCAUGUUUUAUAUAGUCUCCAAUUGAGCAAAAGCUGUUAAUUGUCUCAAUUAUUUUUAUGUUGAUUUCCACAAUUUUCUAGGUAAACCAUCAUAGAUCUGGAAAAUAGGGCUAGUUUUAUCUCCUAUUUACCUCUCUUUAUGCCUUUAAUUUCUAUUGUCUUAUUAGAACUAUAUAGAAUAAUACUGAGGAGAGUGAGUGUCCUUAUUCUACUCCUAUACUAUUGGAGAAAUUUCUAUAGUAUGUAUCCCCAUUGUGAAUGAUGAUUACUUUUGGUCUUAGAGAGAUAUUUUUUAUAAUAGUAAAAAUGAUCUCUCUCCCUAUAAUUUAAAGGAAAUUUUAGCAUAAAAGCGAACAGUAUUUUAUACAGUUUCUUCCUCCCUCAACCACAUCUAUUGAAAUAAUAAUACAGCUUUGGAUGUUUUUGUUUUUCAUGUAAUUAUAUUAUUUUCCUAAUAAAUAAUAAUGCAUACCUCA
rnacentral:lncRNA from 1 species